UUCUCUCUCUACAAGUUCCUGGCAACCACUAAUGUACUUCCUGUCUCUGUGAGUUACUUAUGCUGGACAUUUCAUAUACAGAGAGGAAAUUGGACUCGAAUAGGUGGAGUAAAUUGACCCCUCUUCAGUAACAAGCAAGAGAGGACAACAGGUUUUGAACCCAGUUUCCCUUAUAAGAUGUCCAGUAUGUUUCUUGGUGGUUGGAAGGAACUGAUACAAAGAGAUUCCUGAAGAAGUUGUCAUUCAAGUGCAAAAAAAGUCACCUUGACAUCUAAAAAUUAAACUUGUAAGCUAUUAAACAAGAAUGAUUUACUCUGUACUUAAUACAAUUGUACUUACAUACAUUUUUAGGUGAUUUUUGAUAUCAAAGAGGCAUAUAUCUCUUUAAAGAAGUCAAGAAUAUUGUUAAGCUAGGUGUCUGUAAGCU
rnacentral:lncRNA from 1 species